AUAAUCAAAAAAGGGGAAAUUACAUGCUUCAAGCCAACGACGCUUAUCCUCAUAUUGAAAAUGCAAACGACAAAACACCACCGAAAACACGUCGUAUUCAUCCAAACCAUCGCAUCAGCAUCAUGUUCAUCAAAUCCUCAGCGUCGCGUAUGAUCCCGUCAUCAAGCAUCGAGUUCGUGAGUUGUAUCGUCGUCAUAUUGCUCGCCAGCAUCGAGCUUAUGGUUAAGCCAAAAUGGAAUUCAAAUUGAAAACAACCAUGCAACAUUAAUGAUCGUCCUAUUGCUUUCCGGAUAAAUGCCUUGGCAAAAUGAAAGUGAAGUCUUCCGAUUGGUACCCUUGCGUUGCGUUAACUGGUUGACGUUUUGUACUCGUGAAUGAUUUUUGGCACUUAUGCGCUCGCGUGUUGGAACGAUUUGUUGCUUGGUUGGAAUGUUUAUGAAGAGUGGAUGGAAUGUUAUGGAGACUUGUAUUGGCUUGGACUCUCUUUUAGUUUAUGCAUUAAACAUUGUAAAUUGUAAUAUAGUUUGAAGAUAUUUGGAUAGGAAACAUGAUUAGAAGUGGAUUGUAGUUUUAAUGCAAAAGUAUGACAAAAGUGUAAUUUGAAUCGAAUUUGAAAUGUGAGUUGAAGUUGAAAUUAUAUUGAAAUGCAAAUUGACGUUUGAAA